UUGACCCCCGUGAGGGCCCGUGAGGGGGUUGGGCCGCGGCCCUCGCCUGUCGCCAGCCUCCGGUCCCCACAGCCCGGCUGGGGCUGGCAGGCGCCGUCCUCGGGGGCAGAGCUAGGCGCGGGGAGGCCGCCUGGGCCCUGAGGAGGCCGCGCCGGUUGUGGGGCGGGGCCGCGCCCCAGGCCUCGGGGGGAGCAGCGUCCGGCACGGCCGGGGGCCCGGUACUCGGUAAAGGAUGAGGGACAAGACACGGCUGCGGCCGGAGAUGCAGCCGAGCUCUGGGCGCGCUGUUCCCCGGGGUCGUGGCCCCCGCUGAGCCGCCGGUAGAUUCCUAACGAGCUCCGUCGGCUGGCCGCGGGCAGCGCCGGUGGGCCUGUGGUAGGCGCCUUCCCUCAGACCAACUCCUCUCUUCCCGGCAAGCCCUGCUGGCAGCCACAUUCCUCUGUGCUUAGCAUACCGACGCAGCCUAAAAAUAGUUGCUGCUCCUCCUCAGUGGAAGGAAAAAUGGCUCUGGAGAGGCGGUAGGGAAGGGGCUGGAGAUGAGGCCGGGCAGGAAUCCUGGAGAGGAUGAAGUUCUGUUCAGAUGGCAGCUUACGGAGAAGGCCCGUGCAGAGGUUAGAAGGGUUCGAUGAAUUGAAAGCAGAAGGAAAAGGCCUGAGAUGAGCAGAAUUUGCUUCAAGUUGAAAGUGCUCUUGAUCUACUGUGUCGUUUUAAGCUCCUGACCCUUUGUGGCAAGCAUGGACAGAGCUACUUCAGUGACCACUCCUCUCCAUUGGAAGGGCAAAACAAUAUUCAAGGGAGGAUGUGACAUGGAGCUGCCCACAUCCUCUGAGAGACAGAAAAAGAGAGCGCUUGAGUAAAGAAUGAAGAAUGACAGAGAGGAAGACGGUCAGAAGCUUGGAGAUACAGUCCCUCAAAGGUUGGCAAGGCAUGUGCACCUCCUGGAGAUCACGGGCAAAGAUUGCCUUGUGAUCUCUUAAGUAUUUUUCAGUCUCUUUUCUUUUAAAUCCAUGUUGUUGGAUGUGACUUUUGCUAAAAACAACAAGGCGCAAAUGCCUUUCUCAGCAUGUCACAACUUUUUUGACCAACCCACAUAGACAAACUGGAGACCUUGAGAACAUACGCUUCCGUUCUGUAUAAACAGUUUAAAAUAGAUUUUAGCUUUGCACAGCAUUAUGUGCAGUUACUAUUUUUAAAUGCACACCAAUUAAUCCGAUGUGUUCAUUCCUUUUUUUGCAUGUGCCCUCCAUUCAUGCUUUUGAGUCUCGUAUAUGUUCAAGUCCCUAUCUUGUCAUGAAAACCAAUAUAUCUGUACACUUUUAAUUAAUUUAGAAUAAUCCAGAUGUCCCUCCUCUCCACCAUGGAAAAAAAUCCUUGUGCUAUGUUUUGCACAUUAAAACGUGCAGCAAUUGUGAUUAAAACCUCUCACGAACAUGCCAGCACUGUUGAUGACUUGCCUCUAGUCUCAAGGAGGGCAACACAUCCCUCCUUCUGUGCGGCUGCACGUCCCAGAGAUGACCUUAUGUUGAGGUGGCUCAAAGCAUCCACCAGCUCUGCUUGCUUCCUUCUUCAAGCCCACCUGCACACUUCCACCCUCCUACUAGCAAAUAUUUUAGUAGCUGCUUAUUGUACCUUGCAGAAGGGGCAGUUACUUCUCAUCCCCAGACAAACUCUCUCUCUGUCUUCCGGUCAUCCACCUCCAGAUUCCACUGCUGUCCUGGAGCUGCUAAGGAAGCUCUUCCUGCUGUCCAAAUAGCAUGUGAAAUCUUGCUGGGCAAGGGAGCAGAGGCCAAGGGUGCAUCCCAGAAUGACACAUCCCAGGACGAUGAUGCAGGGAGGGCUCACAGGAAAGGGCUCUGCAGCUGCAGGACGUUCCCCAUGGAAGGAGAGCAGCCCUGGACAUCCAAAGUGCCACACACACACCGCUGGUUUCCCCAGAUCUGCAGUGCUGGCUCAGCCCCAGCAGUCUGCUGCUUCAGGAAGAGAUCCAUGAGAAAUAUCGGCUGGAUUUCAGCUUCUUCCUUCUCAGGUGCCCUGUUACACUCACUUUGAAGUCCCUGUAUGACUUAAAGGCAGAAAUCCAAAGAGCCUGCUGCAAACUGAGCUGUGAGGAUUGCUCUGAUCGCCAGCGUUUCCUGCCAGCUGCUGACAGCGCUUUGAACAUAGUGAGGUCUGGCUCACAAACACUGGUGGAUAAAUAGGUCCUGGCAAGAGAAAUCAGGGGAAUGAUUUGGUUUGCACGAGGCCACUGGAUCCCUUUGCUUUCUGCAAAAGAUCCCAGAGUGCGGCAGCAGAGCGAUGUGCUACGGGAUGCAGGAGCAGAACAGAACACACAUUUCUGGAAGCAGCCAGCAAUGCCAAAAGACUGCAGCUAAGUAAAGGCAAAAGACACUACUUGGGGUGCAGUGAGGUGGAACGUACGUGCUGAUUGUCAGAAUUACUGCAGCUGAAGUUACCGUGGGUAUAUGAAGCCCACAGUCGUGUCUCAGCAGAUGCUCAUAAGUUUACCCUUAAGAGAGACUGCCACGGAUGGAGGAACGGAAAUCCCUUUUCCUGCUACAUGGCUGGUGUCUGAGCAGCAUAGGCAGAGGGCUCUAUAUUCACUCUGUCCUUUAGCCUGGCUUUUGCUUGAAAACUGCAGGAGAAAACCAAGGAGGAUGAAUUAUGCUGCUGUGAAAACACUCAGUGCACAUCUCUAAUCAGGCAAGACAGAAUAACACCUAAAGCAGAGUCCCAGAGCUGAAAAGAAACAAGAGCUGGUUAUGGCGUAACAUUAGGUACAGACUUUGCACAUUAGUAUUUACUAGGCUAGAAAAAUUUAAAACUCUCAUUUGAACUACCUGAUUGGGAAAAAAAAAACCCACAAACAUUUUAAUCUGACUGCUGGUCUGUAAAGCUAAUUUGAAAAAUUGUGCUGUUGCAACUUGGCUAAAAAAUUAUAAUGAAUUGAAGUGGAAA